CGGAAGUCCCGCUGAAACCAAUGAGACGAUGAAGCAAACGCUAAAUGUCUCCAGAUAACGGGUCAGUCGACUUUCCCAUCUAUCCUUUCCAGAGGCGAAGCCUCCAGCCAUGCCGAUGACCACGGCGUGCUCUGCAAGAGACAUGUCCAACCUGCUGGCUGAAAACACAUUCGACGAGCCGUUUUAAUGGACAUUCAUGCACUUAAUUCUGGAUCAGCAGACAACCCCACCAGCCUCCACCACAGAGGCACAACCAGCG